rnacentral:rRNA from 1 species
GAUGAACGCUGGCGGCGCGCCUAACACAUGCAAGUCGAACGGCACCUAUCUUCGGAUAGAAGCGAGUGGCGAACGGCUGAGUAACACGUGGAGAACCUGCCCCCUCCCCCGGGAUAGCCGCCCGAAAGGACGGGUAAUACCGGAUACCCCCGGGCGCCGCAUGGCGCCCGGGCUAAAGCCCCGACGGGGAGGGGAUGGCUCCGCGGCCCAUCAGGUAGACGGCGGGGUGACGGCCCACCGUGCCGACAACGGGUAGCCGGGUUGAGAGACCGACCGGCCAGAUUGGGACUGAGACACGGCCCAGACUCCUACGGGAGGCGGCAGUGGGGAAUCUUGCGCAAUGGGGGGAACCCUGACGCAGCGACGCCGCGUGCGGGACGGAGGCCUUCGGGUCGUAAACCGCUUUCAGCAGGGAAGAGUCAAGACUGUACCUGCAGAAGAAGCCCCGGCUAACUACGUGCCAGCAGCCGCGGUAAUACGUAGGGGGCGAGCGUUAUCCGGAUUCAUUGGGCGUAAAGCGCGCGUAGGCGGCCCGGCAGGCCGGGGGUCGAAGCGGGGGGCUCAACCCCCCGAAGCCCCCGGAACCUCCGCGGCUUGGGUCCGGUAGGGGAGGGUGGAACACCCGGUGUAGUGGUGGAAUGCGCAGAUAUCGGGUGGAACACCGGUGGCGAAGGCGGCCCUCUGGGCCGAGACCGACGCUGAGGCGCGAAAGCUGGGGGAGCGAACAGGAUUAGAUACCCUGGUAGUCCCAGCCGUAAACGAUGGACGCUUGGUGUGGGGGGGCGAUCCCCCCGUGCCGCAGCCAACGCAUUAAGCGUCCCGCCUGGGGAGUACGGCCGCAAGGCUAAAACUCAAAGGAAUUGACGGGGGGCCGCACAAGCAGCGGAGCAUGUGGCUUAAUUUGAAGCAACGCGAAGAACCUUACCAGGGCUUGACAUAUGGGUGAAGCGGGGGAGACCCCGUGGCCGAGAGGAGCCCAUACAGGUGGUGCAUGGCUGUCGUCAGCUCGUGUCGCGAGAUGUUGGGUUAAGUCCCGCAACGAGCGCAACCCCCGCCGCGUGUUGCCAUCGGGUGAUGCCGGGAACCUACGCGGGACCGCCGCCGUCAAGGCGGAGGAGGGCGGGGAGGACGUCAAGUCAUCAUGCCCCUUAUGCCCUGGGCUGCACACGUGCUACAAUGGCCGGUACAGAGGGAUGCCACCCCGCGAGGGGGAGCGGAUCCCGGAAAGCCGGCCCCAGUUCGGAUUGGGGGCUGCAACCCGCCCCCACGAAGUCGGAGUUGCUAGUAAUCGCGGAUCAGCAUGCCGCGGUGAAU